rnacentral:rRNA from 1 species
AGAGAGAGACAUGCGCGCAUAUCAAUAAGCGGAGGAAAAGAAACUAACAAGGAUUCCCCUAGUAACGGCGAGUGAAGCGGGAAGAGCUCAAAUUUGAAAUCUUCAAGGGUUCUACCUUUACGAAUUGUAGUUUAAAGAAGUGUUUUCUGUUGGAGUUUUGGUAAAAGUUCUUUGGAAUAGGACAUCAUAGAGGGUGAGAAUCCCGUAUUUGACCUUUACUUUCAACUUUGUGAUACACUUUCAAAGAGUCGGAUUGUUUGGGAAUGCAGUCCAAAAUGGGUGGUAAAUUUCAUCUAAAGCUAAAUAUUGGCGAGAGACCGAUAGCGAACAAGUACCGUGAGGGAAAGAUGAAAAGAACUUUGAAAAGAGAGUUAAACAGUACGUGAAAUUGUCAAAAGGGAAACGUUUGACACCAGUGUUGUUUUUCUGAAAAUCAAUUAAAGAACUGUUUAUGCUAAGUUGUUUAGACUUUAUCAGCUAACUGUUUAGUUUUGAGCUUUUCUUUAAUGCACUUUUCAGUUAACAAGUCAACAUCAAUUUCUUUUGCUGUAAAAAAGGCUUGAGGAAGGUGGCUUGAGAUUCGUCUUAAGUGUUUAUAGCCUCUUGCCUAUGCAGUCGGAGAGAUUGAGGUCUGCAGCGUAGAUCCUUCGGGGCUAAAUGCAUUUGUGCUAAGUUAUAGCAUUUUAUAGACAACUUGUUGACUAUGAUUUGUCUUGUAGCUUACUCGCCUAUGUUAUUUUACCUACGCUUAGGAUGUUGAGCGCAUGUCUCUCUCU